AUACUUAGUGGCGGACGGGUGAGUAAUGCUUAGGAAUCUGCCUAGUAGUGGGGGAUAACUUGGGGAAACCCAAGCUAAUACCGCAUACGACCUACGGGUGAAAGGGGGCUUUUAGCUCUCGCUAUUAGAUGAGCCUAAGUCGGAUUAGCUGGUUGGUGGGGUAAAGGCCUACCAAGGCGACGAUCUGUAGCUGGUCUGAGGGGAUGAUCAGCCACACUGGGACUGAGACACGGCCCAG
rnacentral:rRNA from 1 species